rnacentral:rRNA from 1 species
GCUACACAUGCAGUCGAGCGGAUGAAGGGAGCUUGCUCCUGGAUUCAGCGGCGGACGGGUCUCUACCAACUAGGAAUCUGCCUGGUAGUGGGGGAUAACGUCCGGCAUCUGGCGCUAAUACCGCAUACGUCCUGAGGGAGAAAGUGGGGGAUCUUCGGACCUCACGCUAUCAGAUGAGCCUACUUCGGAUUAGCUAGUUGGUGGGGUAAAGGCCUACCAAGGCGACGAUCCGUAACUGGUCUGAGAGGAUGAUCAGUCACACUGGAACUGAGACACGGUCCAGACUCCUACGGGAGGCAGCAGUGGGGAAUAUUGGACAAUGGGCGAAAGCCUGAUCCAGCCAUGCCGCGUGUGUGAAGAAGGUCUUCGGAUUGUAAAGCACUUUAAGUUGGGAGGAAGGGCAGUAAGUUAAUACCUUGCUGUUUUGACGUUACCAACAGAAUAAGCACCGGCGAACUUCGUGCCAGCAGCCGCGGUAAUACGAAGGGUGCAAGCGUUAAUCGGAAUUACUGGGCGUAAAGCGCGCGUAGGUGGUUCAGCAAGUUGGAUGUGAAAUCCCCGGGCUCAACCUGGGAACUGCAUCCAAAACUACUGAGCUAGAGUACGGUAGAGGGUGGUGGAAUUUCCUGUGUAGCGGUGAAAUGCGUAGAUAUAGGAAGGAACACCAGUGGCGAAAGCGACCACCUGGACUGA